rnacentral:lncRNA from 1 species
GAGACCCGAGCUGUGCCCCUUCCCCAGUGAAGCCUCUCUGGGCUCCUUUGCCUCUCAAUGGCAUGCUCACCACUCCCUCCUCUCGGUGUUCCAGAACCUUCCAUGUCCCCCCACCGCUGUGUGGACCAUGAUUGAACACUUCCCACGCCAGGUCCCAUUUGACCCUGAAACAGUCACACAAGGCUGAGCUGGCUACGACAGUGACUAAAAAGCAAACUGACAGGAAGGAAAAAGGC